rnacentral:rRNA from 1 species
GGCAAACGGGUGCGUAACGCGUAAGCAACCUGCCUCAAACUGGGGGAUAGCCCGGCGAAAGCUGGGGUAAACCCGCACGGUCCAUUUCCAUCACCUGGUGGGAUUGGUAAACAUUCAUGGGUUUGAGAGGGGCUUGCGUCUGAUUAGUUAGUUGGUUGGGGUAACGGCUCACCAAGGCGAUGAUCAGUAGGGGUUCUGAGAGGAUUGGCCCCCACAUGGGUACUGAGAUACGGACCCAACUCCUACGGGAGGCAGCAGUAGGGAAUAUUGGGCAAUGGAGGCAACUCUGACCCAGCCAUGCCGCGUGCGGGAAGAAGGCCUUCGGGUUGUAAACCGCUUUUGUCAGGGAAGAAAAGCUCUGGGUUAAUACCUUGGGGUGAUGACGGUACCUGAAGAAUAAGCACCGGCUAACUACGUGCCAGCAGCCGCGGUAAU